AGAAGCUGCUCCAUUGCGAUUUUUUGCAAAACGAAGCAAAACCCGGACAAAUAUUCCGUAAAAAGUACCAAACAGUAUUGAAAAGUGUCGAUUUUCGUGAAUUUUUGUGAUAAUUUUGAUUGUUUCGCCCAACAAACGUGUGCGUUGCGUGUUUUGCACGAAAAAUUCAUUGCGGAGCGGGAACAAAAAAUGCUCAUCGAGGCUAUUGACCUUCCAGUUUUUAUGUAAAGUUUGAGCAAAAAGAGCAAAUCCGAUGAAAGUGAAUAACGUACAAUGUCUCAACAGCUACGAAUUAUCCCGUUGGAGAAAUUGAUGAAAGAUGAAUUUUGUGAUGAUGGCGUCGAUGGCGAUGAUGGCGGAGCGCAAGCAAAAAAUACUUCAAUAAUUAGCGUUGGCAGCACCACAACUUCCGACGACGAAAACUGCAAAGUGACGUCAACGAGCGACGAAACAAACGGAAAACUCAAGAAAUUACUGACAAACGGGGCAAAAGCCGCGAAUGGCAAGGAAUUAAAAAUUCUCGUGACCAAACUCAAGCCGGAUAAACUCAUGAAAGAGCACAAUUUGAAGGAAAUUCGCGAUAGUGACAACAAAAUUCUCGCGCGCAACGGCAUCGAAGACAUGGAAAAGUCCGAAAGUGAUGCGGAAAUGAGCGACGAGCCGGUAAAACGGCGUCGUCCGCAACGUGAAGUGCGUCGAAAGGCGCCGCAACCCUCCACGAGCACCGCUGGCGUGUUCGAUAGUGACACCUCUAGCGACUCGGAGGCGAAAAAAGACAAAAGUGACGCGUCGGAGGACGAUUCUGAUGCACCGCCGGUGCGUAAAAAGCGCGGGCGCCCAAAAAAGGAAAAAUCUGACUCGGAUUCCGACGUAAAAUUCUUCGAAUCGAGCGAAGAUGAGGAAUUACAGGCAAAAAUGAAGGAGAAACGGAAGCGGAAACGCAUCAAAGAGGCAGCAUCGAGUGACGAAAAUGACAAAACCCCCGCAAAAUCGCAGAAAAAAGACGCUGAGCCCGCUGCAGGUUCCGGCAGAAAAAAUAUUCGAUCGUUCAAGACGACAUCAUCGCUCGAGGAAACGACAAAAGAAGCGGCAAAGCAGGAAAAACAACGUCUCGAACGAUUGGCUGAGCGUCAAAAGCUUUACAACUCGUAUUACGAGACGGAGGAAGAGAAAGAGAAGCGAAAAGAAGGCACCGAGACCCCAAAACGACUAAUUUUGGAUUUUGACGAGGAAACAAAGGAAGUUACUUUAGAGGUUGAUCCUGGAAUUGUCGCAUGUCUCAAACCGCAUCAAUUUACCGGCAUUAAAUUCAUGUGGGAAGCUUGUUUUGAGUCACUUGAGCAAAUUGAAAAGGGUCCCGGCUCCGGAUGCAUCCUUGCCCAUUGCAUGGGCUUGGGAAAAUCGCUCCAAGUGGUCUCCCUGGUGCACACUUUGCUCGCAAACAGCGAAAAAACGAAGGUAAAUCGCGUUUUAGUCGUUUGCCCGCUCAGCACGGUGCUCAAUUGGGUCAACGAAUUCGACAUUUGGUGCGCCAAAACGGAAAAUCAGGACUACGAGAUGAACCUGUACGAGAUGUCGCGUCAAAAGCAGAACGUCGAUCGCGCCUAUCGUCUCAAAGAGUGGUACGAAGAUGGCGGCGUCUUCAUAAUCGGCUACGACAUGUUCCGAAAUUUGACGAAUUUGAAGCAAAAACUCCGGAAAAAGCUCCGUGACGACAUCGAAAAGGCUCUUUUGGAUCCCGGGCCGGAUUUGGUCAUUUGCGACGAAGGGCAUUUGCUGAAGAACGAAAAAACCGCCGUUUCGAUCGCCAUGAAUAAAGUUAAGACGUUGCGUCGUGUGGUACUUACAGGCACUCCCUUGCAGAAUAACUUGAAGGAAUAUUAUUGCAUGGUGCAAUUUGUCAAGCCGAAUUUGCUGGGAAAGUACACGGAAUAUUUGAAUCGUUUCGUGAACCCGAUUACGAAUGGGCAGUACAUCGACUCGACGGAACUCGAUAUUAAAAUUAUGAAGAGACGUUCGCAUGUGUUGCACAAGAUGCUCGAGGGAUGUGUUCAGCGCAGAGAUUAUUCCGUGUUGGCGCCGUUCUUGCCGAUUAAGCAUGAGUACGUGAUUUCGAUCAAAUUGACGCCGCUCCAGAUUCAGCUGUACAAGUACUAUAUGGAGCACAAGCCGGCAAUGGAUACGUCGCGGAAGGCGGCGACACUUUUCUCGGAUUUUCAGAAUUUGCAGAGAAUUUGGACGCAUCCGUUGUCGUUGCGCUACAACAGCGACCGCGUGGAAAAAGAAAUGCUAAAACGCGAAAUGGAAGAAACCGAAUCCGAAGGCUCGAUCAAGGACUUUGUCGUCAACAGCGACUCUGACGAAGAAAGUGCCAAAAGUACUUCGAGCGAUUCCUCCAACGACGCAUCCGACGACGAACCCCUUAAGAAACCGCAAAAAAUCAUCCGCACCCGCGCCAAAGCCGGCGACAUGCCCUUCGAAGAGAUCCCCAUCUUGCCGGAGGAAAAAACGCGCGAAAAUCCCACAGAAUGGUGGACCACCAUGGUAACGGACGACGACUUGAACAACAUUGAACAUUCCUCGAAGCUCAUCGUGCUUUUCUCGAUUUUGCAACAAUGCGAGGCAAUUGGCGACAAAUUGCUCGUUUUUACGCAAUCCAUUUACUCGUUGGACGUAAUUGAGCACUUUUUGCGCCUGAUUGACGAACAAACGCAAAAUCAGGAGUACGAGAACCCAAAAUUUAGCGGUUCGUGGUCACUGGGCUUGGAUUACUUGCGUUUGGAUGGCAGUACGUCGGUCGAGAUGCGAAAUCAAUUUUGCAAGAUUUUCAACGACGACACAAAUACUCGAGCACGUUUGUUCCUAAUUUCGACGCGAGCCGGCGGGCUCGGGAUAAAUCUCGUUGCGGCGAAUCGUGUGGUGAUUUUUGACGUUUCUUGGAAUCCGUCGCACGAUAUUCAGUCGAUUUUCCGAAUUUAUCGCUUUGGGCAGAAGAAGCCGUGUUACGUUUAUCGAUUUGUGGCUCUGGGAACGAUGGAGGAGAAAAUCUACGAACGUCAGGUGACAAAAGAGGCAAUUUCCAAACGAGUCAUCGACGAACAACAAAUCGAUCGACAUUACAAGGAAAAGGACAUUAUGCAACUUUAUAGUUACGAUUUGGAGCCCGAGACCUCCUCCGAGACCCCUUUGCUCCCAAAAGAUCGACUUUUCGCGGAUAUUCUCUCCGAAUACCCAAAUCUCAUUUAUCGCUAUCACGAGCACGACUCCUUGCUCGAGAACAAGGAAGAAGAAACGCUCGACGAAGAAGAACGCAAAGCCGCCUGGGAGGAAUACAACUCGGAAAAAGAUCGCAUUAUCAACAACGCCAACAUCCAGCCGUACAUCGGAUACUCGCAUCAAGGCACGGGACGCGGCAUGACCAGUGGCCCCGUUACCAGCAACAUGAUUUACGGCUUCCGCAGCGACGUGUUGCUCAAUUUGCUCCGUAUCAAGUUGCGACAGACGUAUCCGCACAUGCCCGAGACGCAAAUUAACACGGCAGUGCCGACUCUCGUGCAAGAGCUCUACGCACAAAUGAAGCAGGGCGAGAUUACGUUGUACCAGGAGCUGGUUGAUUUGCAAAAUUUGCUUGUAGCGACGGCGCAGGGCAGUGUGGACUUUAAUGCAGGCGCUGCGGCGAUUUUUAACCGGCAACCAUAUCAGGGCAACUUUAACCAGGCGCAGAAUGUGAUGUAUCGACAACAAACCGCGAACUAUAAACCACCGCCGACCACAUCCAAUGACGUCGUUGAACUGAGUGAUAGUGAUUAAGAUGGAAAGAUUGCAGAAGAAGAAGAAGGAGGAUUUCAUAAGAGUUUGAACAAUGUAUACUUUUUUUUCUUAAAAAGGAAAUCUCAAAAAGUUUCUUAUUGUAGUGUUAAUUUAGUGAGAAAGAAAAAAAAUAAACAGUAGAAAAGUAGAUAUUUUGUAACAGGAAAUAAAAAAGAAUGUCAGAAAACUAAGAAAUGAAUCUAAAUUCAUUUUUAUCCUUUAGGAGGAUUACCUACAUCAUGUAAUAUUAAGUGUAUUCAGUGAUUCAAUGAAUAAAACG